GAUGAAGAACGCAGUGAAAUGCGAUAGGUAGUGUGAAUUGCAGAUGUAACGUGAAUCAUCGAAUCUUUGAACGCAAAUUGCACUCUCUGGUAUUCCGGGGAGUAUGCCUGUUUGAGGGUCGCCAAAUCAACAUCGAAAUUCAUUUGCUUUUGUAAAUGUUUUAUCGGAUUUGAGCCGUCUUUUAUUUUUUUAAUUAAAGUGGCUUAAAAUGUAUUUUUUGGUAUCGAAAAACGUUAUUUUACGAUCAAAUUGAUUAAAAAAACAAACGUUUCGAAUGCCGUCUUUUAAUGUAAUACGCUUGACUGUGGUGUUAAUCAUAGUUUCAUUCGUAUACGAUUUUUUAAUUUUUGACCUCAAAUCAGGUAAGAACACCCGCUGAACUUAAGCAUAUCAAUAAGCGGAGGA
rnacentral:misc_RNA from 1 species